CCUACGGGGGGCUGCAGUGGGGAAUAUUGGACAAUGGGCGCAAGCCUGAUCCAGCAAUGCCGCGUGUGUGAAGAAGGCCUGCGGGUUGUAAAGCACUUUAAGCAGGAAAGAAGGGGUGAAAGUUAAUACCUUUCAUCAUUGACGUUACCUGCAGAAUAAGCACCGGCUAACUCCGUGCCAGCAGCCGCGGUAAUACGGAGGGUGCGAACGGUACUCGGAAUGACUGGGCGUGAAUUGCGCAGUCCGGCGUGAAAGCCAUGGGCUUAACCUGGGAACUGCGGUGGAUACGGUCGGGCUAGAGUGUGGUAGAGGGGAGUGGAAUUUCCGGUGUAGCAGUGAAAUGCGUAGAGAUCGGAAGGAACACCAGUGGCGAAGGCGGCUCCCUGGACUAACACUGACGCUGAGGUGCGAAAGCGUGGGGAGCAAACAGGAUUAGAUACCCCAGUAGUC
rnacentral:rRNA from 1 species